rnacentral:rRNA from 1 species
GACAGAGGGUGCAAACGUUGUUCGGAGUUACUGGGCGUAAAGCGCGUGUAGGCGGCCAAUCAGGUCGGAUGUGAAAUCCCUCGGCUCAACCAAGGAAGUGCAUUCGAAACCGUUUGGCUAGAGUCCCGGAGAGGAAGGUGGAAUUCUCGGUGUAGAGGUGAAAUUCGUAGAUAUCGAGAGGAACACCGGCGGCGAAGGCGGCCUUCUGGACGAGGACUGACGCUGAGAUGCGAAAGCGUGGGGAGCAAACAGG